CAGGGCUGGGAAAAGCCUUUGUGGCCCCUUCAUUAUGAUCACAGGACGAGUGCCCACCUGGACCACAAAGGAAGUGCAAACUCAGGCCCUGGGAUCCCAGUUCCCACCAAAUUUAAUGCAGAUGCAGCUAUUUGGCUGGAAAGCAGAAGGGCCCUGAAAACAACCACCUUCCUGUAACCCCAGCUGAACAGAUCUGUCACUGACCUAGAACAGCACCACUGAAACCUUCAGAAAUGUAGGACUGGGUGAC